AGGGGUAUAGUUUAAUGGUAGAAUCGCGGUCUCCAAAACCGUUGGUCUCAGUUCGAAUCUGGGUACCCCUGCCA
rnacentral:tRNA from 1 species